UGGAAGGAAUAUUAACUGAAAUGGAAGUUAGUCAGUGUUUGCUGAAUUUUGUUAUUUGCUAGUAAUUACAGGUGUGGGGGUAGCCACAUUCUUUGAUUUCCUGUCCUUGCUUAU